UUUAAUAUGCAUUUCUCUGAUGAUUAGUGAUUUGGAGCAUUUUUUUUAUGUUUGUUGGCUACUUGAAUGUUUCCUUUUAAGAAGUUAGUAUCUUUUGCUCAUUUUUUUAAUGGGGUUGUUUUUUGCUUGUUGAAUUGUUUAAAUUCCCUAUAGAUUCUGGAUAUUAGGCCUUUGUUGGAUGCACAGUUUUGCAUAAAUGUCUUAAAGUAAUUCUCGAUUGAGGAUUUCUUUGUACUAUGGGGUAGUUGCUGGCUAUCCCUGAAAAUCAAUAUUGGAUUAAUUUAUUAGGUAAUCAGAGACACCUGAAUGACAGCCAGUUAGUAAACCUAAAAACAAAAAGUAGUAUACAUUAAACAUUUUCUGUCCUGUUUUCAGUUUUCCAUUUUCAAAGUCAUCUUUCUUGGUAGAGGAACCUUGACUGUUUUUGUUGUAGGAUAUAGACCCAGCUCUACAGUUGGUAAGUAAAUAUGCAUCCAGUGAACUGACAGGUCAAAAAAAAAAAAAAAAAAAAAAAAGCAUACAUUGCAUGGAAGACUAAACUAUGUGAUGCCCAAGAUCCCUUCCAAAUUUGAGAUUCUAUGAUUCUUUUAGAAGAGAUAACCAGGGGGAGAAUGGAAUUUUAAAAUAUUGUCAAAAAAAGCAUGUUCAUUUUGUUUCUGAACAGAUGCUAUCAAAGCUGAAUAAAUCAUAAUUCUUUAACAUAGUUAAUUUAAAUAGAGUUGAAAUGACC
rnacentral:lncRNA from 1 species